UCCGGUUUGACACCGGCAGUCUCCCUAGAGUGCCCGACAUGACUCGCUGGUAACUAGGAACGAGGGUUGCGCUCGUUGCGGGACUUAACCCAAUAUCUCACGACACGAGCUGACGACAGCCAUGCAGCACCUGUCUCCGCGCCCCUUGCGGGGACCACCCAUCUCUGAGUUUAGCGCGGGAUGUCAAACCCUGGUAAGGUUCUGCGCGUUGCGUCGAAUUAAACCACAUGCUCCGCUGCUUGUGCGGGUCCCCGUCAAUUCCUUUGAGUUUUAGCCUUGCGGCCGUACUCCCCAGGCGGGGCACUUAAUGCGUUAGCGUCGGCACGGGAGGAGUCGACACCUCCCACACCUAGUGCCCAUCGUUUACGGCGUGGACUAC
rnacentral:misc_RNA from 1 species